UGGGAGGAGUCCUCGUAGUGGAAUUAGUGUCCUUAUAAGAAGAAACACCAGACACCUGUUCUCUCUCUAACUCCUCUGUGAGGACCCAGCUAGAGAGUGUCUGUUUGCAAGCCAGGAGCAGAGCUCUCGGCAGAAACCAACCAUGCUGGCAUCUUCAUCUUGGCAUCUUCAUCUUGGACUUCUAGACUUCAGACUAUGGUGAUUUCAUACAGUAUCCUUCACCAGAAUUUGGUUACACAUUCGGGAGCCACUGCUGGUCUUUUAGAAAUGAGAAAACUGAAUCCACUAGAGUUUCCCACAAGGCACUCGGCAGCAUUGGGAAGAUCUUCGCCCCUCAAUGGGACCUAUCAGGAUGGUCUGCUGCUCGCCUUGGCUUUGAGGUCAUACGCUAAAUGA
rnacentral:lncRNA from 1 species